CAGUUGGCUGUUGUUUGAACUUGGUUGCUUUAUAUUUCGGUGAAAACGGUGGAAAGUGCAGUGGAGCCUCCGGAUUGCAGCUGACGCAUCUGCCCCGUGCAGGAGGAAAGGACAGAUUGGCGGGGGGACCCAGCCCUGCGAAGUGCUCCCGAGACCAUGACC